rnacentral:rRNA from 1 species
UACGGAGGGUGCAAGCGUUAAUCGGAAUUACUGGGCGUAAAGCGUGCGUAGGCGGUUGUUUAAGUCAGAUGUGAAAGCCCUGGGCUUAACCUGGGAACUGCAUUUGAUACUGGACGACUAGAGUUUAGUAGAGGGGAGUGGAAUUUCAGGUGUAGCGGUGAAAUGCGUAGAGAUCUGAAGGAACACCAGUGGCGAAGGCGGCUCCCUGGACUAAAACUGACGCUGAGGUACGAAAGCGUGGGUAG